rnacentral:tRNA from 1 species
GCGCGAUUAGCUCAGUUGGAUAGAGCGCUGGCCUCCGGAGCCAGAGGUCGCAGGUUCGAAUCCUGCAUCGCGCGCCU